GUUGAAACACCGGUCCUCGUACGAUCACCGAAGUUAAGCAACAUCGGACCUAGUCGGUACCUAGAAGGGUGACCGCUUAGAAAUACCAGCUUCUG